rnacentral:rRNA from 1 species
GUCUAUGGUCAUGCUCCCCUGAACAAGCCCGAUCCCGUCUGAUCUCGGAAACCAAGCAGGGUCGGGCCUGGUUAGUACUUGGGUGGGAGACCACCUAGGAAGCCCAGGUGCUGUAGGUG